rnacentral:rRNA from 1 species
CCUAGUACGAUUGCCUUGAGUUGAUCAUGGCUCGAACGAACGCUGGCGGCAGGCUUACACAUGCAAGUCGAGCGCCUUGGCAACAAGGAGCGGCAGACGGGUGAGUAACGCGUGGGAAUCUACCCAUCCCUACGGAACAACUCCGGGAAACUGGAGCUAAUACCGUAUACGCCCUUCGGGGGAAAGAUUUAUCGGGGAUGGAUGAGCCCGCGUUGGAUUAGCUAGUUGGUGGGGUAAAGGCCUACCAAGGCGACGAUCCAUAGCUGGUCUGAGAGGAUGAUCAGCCACAUUGGGACUGAGACACGGCCCAAACUCCUACGGGAGGCAGCAGUGGGGAAUAUUGGACAAUGGGCGCAAGCCUGAUCCAGCCAUGCCGCGUGAGUGAUGAAGGUCUUAGGAUUGUAAAGCUCUUUCACCGGAGAAGAUAAUGACGGUAUCCGGAGAAGAAGCCCCGGCUAACUUCGUGCCAGCAGCCGCGGUAAUACGAAGGGGGCUAGCGUUGUUCGGAAUUACUGGGCGUAAAGCGCACGUAGGCGGAUAUUUAAGUCAGGGGCGAAAUCCCAGAGCUCAACUCUGGAACUGCCUUUGAUACUGGGUAUCUUGAGUAUGGAAGAGGUAAGUGGAAUUGCGAGUGUAGAGGUGAAAUUCGUAGAUAUUCGCAGGAACACCAGUGGCGAAGGCGGCUUACUGGUCCAUUACUGACGCUGAGGUGCGAAAGCGUGGGGAGCAAACAGGAUUAGA